rnacentral:rRNA from 1 species
CAGCCGCCGCGGGAAUACGGAGGGAGCUAGCGUUGUUCGGAAUUACUGGGCGUAAAGCGCACGUAGGCGGUUAUUCAAGUCAGAGGUGAAAGCCCGGGGCUCAUCCCCGGAACUGCCUUUGAAACUAGAUGACUGGAAUCUUGGAGAGGUCAGUGGAAUUCCGAGUGUAGAGGUGAAAUUCGUAGAUAUUCGGAAGAACACCAGUGGCGAAGGCGACUGACUGGACAAGUAUUGACGCUGAGGUGCGAAAGCGUGGGGAGCAAACAGGAUUAGAGACCCCUGUAGUCCCUGUCUCUUAUAC